rnacentral:rRNA from 1 species
GACGAACGCUGGCGGCGUGCUUAACACAUGCAAGUCGUACGGUAAGGCCCUCUCGGGGGUACACGAGUGGCGAACGGGUGAGUAACACGUGAGUAACCUGCCCACAACUUUGGGAUAACGCUAGGAAACUGGUGCUAAUACUGGAUAUGUGCUCCUGCUGCAUGGUGGGGGUUGGAAAGCUCCGGCGGUUGUGGAUGGACUCGCGGCCUAUCAGCUUGUUGGUGGGGUAGUGGCCUACCAAGGCGGCGACGGGUAGCCGGCCUGGGAGGGUGACCGGCCACAAUGGGACCGAGAGACGGCCCAGACGCCUACGGGAGGAAGCAGCGGGGAAUAUUGCACAAGGGGCGCAAGCCUGAUGCAGCAACGCCGCGUGCGGGAUGACGGCCUUCGGGUUGUAAACCGCUUUCAGCAGGGACGAAGCUUUUUGUGACGGUACCUGCAGAAGAAGCACCGGCUAACUACGUG